GAGGACGUAGAGCAGCUCCCACUCGCCCUGGUUCAGGAAGACGUUCCUGUCAAACUUCACCCGCUCCGGCUGCCGCCACAGCGAGAGGUUGAGGUCGCGGACUGGGGCAGAAGAGGGGAAACCAGUCCUUGCAAGGAAGUGACAAACGCGAUGGCAAACUUGCAAUUCAUCGAUGACAACAUUUGGAGCCCAGAUAACGCUGAGCAGCAGCGAAAUCUCCCUCAUCCCGUCCAGAGGCUGAAAUUCCAGACCUUCGCGUGAGUGGAGCCUUCAUGCAGCAGUAAGGAAAGAGAGGAGCUUUUAUUAAAAAAGGAAAUACGGUGAGUAAGAAUAAUGUAACAAUCCUUUAAAUCCAGUGUGCACAUUGCUCCCUGCUUUCAGGUGUGCUAGAAUAGCCCAAAGCAGGAGAGGAAAAAGAGCUAGGCCAUGCAAAUUUGUAUGUAUUCGGUGCGUUCUGUCGUUUGGGAUUCACUCUGGAAUUUCAUCGUAUCGUUUUGGUUUGCCAAGAUGAAAAGUAACAGCAGAAAAUGUGGUUUCAAAAUGUGCUGAAACUAGAAAGCGUGGCACGUACGCACUUCUCUUCACUUUUAAAGCAAUGACAGUGCAAAUUGGUUGCUUUCUUUCGAUAAAGUAAGGCUUACGCAUGGGAGGAUCUUGGGGUUCGUUACGCAAAACGGGGGCAAGGGCAGAUCUCCAGUUCCCACUCACUAUUCAUCUGAGUGUAGGAUCCUCGCUGCAGUAAAUUAUCUUCGAUGUAAUGGCACUUUGACUGCACUUGACACUGCAAACGAAUCACCAGUAUCUGUCCUGCACCCUAAUUAGUGACUGUGACAUCCAUCAGGCUGCUAAACAUAAUACAUACACUCAGCAAACCCUGAGCUAAAAAUAUGAGGCUGAGUUUAUAUUUGUAAUCAGGAUAUUAAUAAUUUUUCAGAGGGAGUUGUCUCAGCUGCUUUAGGCAGCCACUUGGGUUAAAUCUCCACGCAUAUAGAUUUUCCUGCUCGUAAAACACAAUAAGUGACCUCAAGCUAGGUGUGUUUUUUAUGACAUGACAGGUAGAAAUUCCCUGUCUUUUCAGUGAUGGGGCUGCUCCUCCUGCCUUUAAUCUGUCUUAUUACAGGACCAGCAGUGCCCUGGCCAGAUCAGCCCAGGCCCGAGGACGUGCA